GGAGCUGCCAAUUAGAAUCUGGUAAUGAAAAUCCAUAAAGUUGGAGAAAAACAAGAGUAUAGUGUCAAACAAUCAGAGAAGGGAAGAGUAAGCUGCAUUGACUGUUGCUGAGAUGUCAAGUUAGACGUGUACAGACAUGUAACUGUUAGAUUUGGUAACAUCAGUUCCCUUGCCAAGAGGAGUUUCAAAGCCAUGGUAGGCUGGAAGCAAGGCUGAACAGAGCUGAAGACUAAAUAGGUAGCAAUAAGGAGAGACAUCAACCAAGGACUAUUCUUUCAAGAAGUUUGGCUGAAAAAAGAAAAAAAUGGUGUAGUAUUUGAAAAAGAUUUGAGUUCAAGAGGUUUCCUCUACUUCCAAAGGAAGAAGUGGGAAUUAACUUUGAGCAGAAUAUCCUUUGUUUUGGAAAGAGCUGUCCUCUGAAGAUUCCUACGUUAGAAGAACCCCCACUGCCACCUGCCAGGGGGAAGAAGUGUCUACACUAAUAGUAAUGUUCUUAUCCUGUUUUCUUAUUUGGGCAGAAAAGUGGAGGAAGGACUAAAUGGUUCACGCUUCCUGUCUUGAAAGACAGGAAGUCUUCCUAGAAGACUCCUGCCUACAUUUCAGUAGCCCAAACUCAUCACCACAUUGCUAAACCUACUUGCAAGACCCUCCAGCUUCUUAUUUUGAAAAUUUUCAAACCUACUGACAAGUUGCUGCUGCUGCUCGGUUGCUUCAAUCAUGUCCGACUCUGUGCGACCCUAUGGACUGCAGACUGCCAGGCUCCUCUGUCCAUGGGAUUCUCUAGGCAAGAGUAGUAGAGUGGGUUGCCAUGCCCUCCUCUGGAGGAUCUUCCUGACCCAGGGAUAGAAACUGAGUCUCCUGCAUUGCAGGUAGAUUCUUAACUGCUGAGUCACCAGGGAAGCCAUUGGCAAGUUGCACUGGUAAUAAACUUAGCACCUGAUAAUAUUAUGCAGGCUUCACCAGUUGCUAAUAUUUUGCCACAUUUGCUUUGUCUUUCAUUUUCCUUCUCUCUUUUUGGUGAACUAUUAAGUGGUAGACAUCAAAAUGCUGUGGUGGUAUGUAUUUUCUGCAAACAAGGUCAUUCUCCUACAUAUUCACAAUGGAAUUGAUGAUUUUCAGGAAAUUUUAGCUUUCACAAGUAAUAUUAUACAACGUACAAUCUAUGUUCAAGUUUCCCAAGUUGUUCCAAUAAUGUCUUUUAUAGCUUUAUUAAAAAUCCAGGAUUUGAUUAAAAAAAUGUAUUGUUUAGUAAACAUAUCUCUUAAAUAAUUUAUAUUCUAGAACUGUGCCCAGCUUUUCUUUUUAACUGUUAAGACACUGACAUUUUGAAGUGUCUGGACUAGUUGUUUUGCAGACCAUUUCUCAAUUUAGAUUUUUCUGAUUGCUUCCUCACGAUUAGAGUAAGGUUAAACAUUUCUGGCAGGACGUGUCUCUCGUAGUACAUCACUUCAGGAGGCAUAUGCUGCCAGUUUGUCAAACUUGGUGAUUGUAAGUUUCACCAUUUGGUUAAGGUGAUGCUGUCAAAUUUCUCCAUUGUAAAU
ensembl:lncRNA